CGAACCUGGCGGCAGGCUUAACACAUGCAAGUCGAGCGGGCCCUUCGGGGUCAGCGGCGGACGGGUGAGUAACGCGUGGGAACGUGCCUUCUGGUUCGGAAUAACCCUGGGAAACUAGGGCUAAUACCGGAUACGCCCUUAUGGGGAAAGGUUUACUGCCGGAAGAUCGGCCCGCGUCUGAUUAGCUAGUUGGUGGGGUAACGGCCUACCAAGGCGACGAUCAGUAGCUGGUCUGAGAGGAUGAUCAGCCACACUGGGACUGAGACACGGCCCAGACUCCUACGGGAGGCAGCAGUGGGGAAUAUUGGACAAUGGGCGCAACUGAAUCCAGCCAUGCCGCGUGAGUGAUGAAGGCCUUAGGGUUGUAAAGCUCUUUUAUCCGGGACGAUAAUGACGGUACCGGAGGAAUAAGCCCCGGCUAACUUCGUGCCAGCAGCCGCGGUAAUACGAAGGGGCUAGCGUUGCUCGGAAUCACUGGGCGUAAAGGGCGCGUAGGCGGCGUUUUAAGUCGGGGGUGAAAGCU
rnacentral:rRNA from 1 species